GCUGCGAUACAGCAAACCUGUUGAAAAGCAGGGACGCAAAGCCAUGGGCCUAAAGACGUCAGUCAAUGGUUGCCAGGUUGCCGAA
rnacentral:ncRNA from 1 species